UAUAUAAAAAAGUCUCCCUACACUUUACAUAGACACAAAAGGCUAUUCAGCAUCAUUUCCUGAUCACAUUUUUUGACACAAAUAAAAUUUGGUUGUUUUAGCACAAGAAAAAGAAAAGAUGCCGAAAACUUUAUAAGCAGUGAAAAAUCUGCUCUAAUAGGGAUAAUUGACGAACAUAAAAACAUUAUAGAAUGUAAGAAAACUGAUAGUGUUCAUUGAUGUGCAUCAAAACAAAGAAUGAAACAUCGCUCAAAAUUUGCACUAAAUUCAACGCACAAGGCAUAUUCCCAGAGUAUCGUUCUGCUGAAAAAUUAAAAUUGUUGUGGGACAAUUUAAAGCGAAACACCAGAAAAAAUAUGAGCUAUUUACAGAAAGAAAUGUUCCAAACUGUGGCAGAACUUCGUUAACAAUAGAAGAUCCUUUGAGCCUACAAGUGAAAAAUUUGAUUGGGAAACUAAUUGAGCCUAUGACCAAUGAUUAUGACGAUGAUGCUCUGGAAGAUAUAACUAUACAAGAUACAGAGGUGGAGUUUGCAAGGAGCAUGGAUGGUGACAACGAAAUCACCACCAACACAACGCCAGAUCCAGAUAUUUCUGUAGCUCAAUACCAAGAAAUAUUGGAAGAAACUGAGGUUUGUUUUCGGUCACUCUCGUGUGUCCGCUCUUCUGGAGUUGGUUGUUCAGGCUAUGCUUAUCUUGUAACUAAUCACUUUACCAACGCUUUUUUGAAUUACAUUUAGCAGGCAAUAAGUGAUGAUGAUGAUGAUCAUCAUGAUUGGGCCAGUUGGAACCCAGUGGGUCUCAAAAGUAAAAAGAAUCCUCUCUUAAAAAUACCAUCAAAGAUUUUUGUGAGCACUCCUUCCACAUCACAGGCGAGUGCAAAAGAUGGAUUAGAACAUAUGGAACGACGGCUGACAGGAAAGAACAAAAAAAGCACGCAUUGGAAAAUAGGAGUGUAUUGGUUGAACUGUAAAUGCAAAAAAGUACCGCCAAUUGUUACCAAGAAGUCUAAUUCGAAUUAUGGAACAAUAUCUUGGAAUGAAGAAUUGCAUAUUUUAACUGGACGGUGCGCUUUUCACGCAGCUAAAACGAUCAAAAAGUGGUUUGAAGAUCAUAAAUUCAAAGUUUUAUCGUGGCUCUCAAGCAGUCCGGACUUGAAUGUUAUAGACACUUUGUCAUCAAAUGAAGAAAUCAUUACCAGAAUUUCGUCAGACUCACUCAGUUCACUGGGACUCAAAGGCAAAACGUAUAAAAGCCGGUCAAAGCCGAAAGGUUAUGUUGCUUCUUAUUAAACUUCGCAUUAAUAUAGUUGUAUUAAAGUAAAAAUAAUCGAUUUUUUCCAAAACCGCGCCUAAAUGCUACUGCAUUUAAUAAUAGAUAUGCUUCUAUUGCUACAGGUAUGGUUUAAAAACCGGCGAGCGAAAGCGAAAUCGAUGCUGCAGACGGAAUCCAACGAUGGCAAGGUCUGGACAUGUACCGUCAUACAAAUCCUGAUAACGCUUAUGGAUUUGAAGGCCAGAGUCGAGAUCAAUACAACAUGGGGCGAUAGUCAGCUGUUCUGCUUUAGCAUGGUUAGAUUAGUAAUAGUAUUGAAGUAAAAUGGAUAGAUCAAUCUGUGAUAUAUUUUUAUUGAAGGAACUACUGAAUUGUCAGUGGCAUUAUCUGUGAUUCAUGAUAUUAUAUUUCACUCUGCUGUAUUUUUUUUGACUGAAAGAUACCUUCAUUUUGUCAUAUCUUCGUUUUAGCAGGCAGUUCCUACAAAUAAUUUAUUUUAGGUGGCUGCCUGACAACUAAUUUGGGUACUUUAAUUUAUCACACAUCCAACCUGAAGCGCUAGCAAUAAACUAGUCCUCUGACAACAAAUUCGUGUUCAUUCCCAGUGUUGGCGUUUGCUUGUAAAACCACCCGUCUUACAGAACCCGAACAAUAUCGACUGUUGAUGUUUCGAAAUAAGGACUCAGACCCUGUCCCAAACAAGUUUAUUUAACAACGAAAAUUACUAUUUUUCAUAGAGACGAAGAGGAAAAAUCCACUUGACAUAUUUGUUACCGUCCGAAUCUUGAUCAGGGCCUGUUCACUCUCGUGUAAUGACAGUUCUGCGUUAAUAUAGUUUACUCAGAUCAUGAGCGCGC
rnacentral:lncRNA from 1 species